AGCGGUGAACACUGGAGUUCUGCUUUAAGAGGGGCUUCUUCCCUUUAUUAAUCCCCAAAUAAAUAGGUUCCCCGGCGAUGGCCUCUUUGCAGAAGGAGAGCUCCUGGGGGCUGUCUACACCCAAGCCUGCGGGGCGUCCCACACAACAGUCGAUCAUAGAAAGCAAAAUAAAGAAAGCCACUGGAGUGAAGGUUUGGUCAUUUACUUGCGUCAACAUUCACCAGUGGUGAGGAAGCCUGCAGUCAUGUCCCAGUGUCUGCCUCUGAGACUCUGUCCUCACCCUCCGCUCAGAAGGCCAUCGCAGCAGCAGAUGGUAUUUCCUCUUUCUCCAUUUAUAGAAAUACUUGCCUAGACCUUGCGUGCCACUCUUUGUUCUGUGCUGUUAACAU